UACGUAGGGUGCAAGCGUUGUCCGGAAUUAUUGGGCGUAAAGAGCGUGUAGGCGGCCCGACCAGUCCGCUGUGAAAGUCCGGGGCUCAACUCCGGAUCUGCGGUGGGUACGGGCAGACUAGAGUGAUGUAGGGGAGACUGGAAUUCCUGGUGUAGCGGUGAAAUGCGCAGAUAUCAGGAGGAACACCGGUGGCGAAGGCGGGUCUCUGGGCAACAACUGACGCUGAGGAGCGAAAGCAUGGGGGAGCGAACAGG
rnacentral:rRNA from 1 species